UAUGGAUGAAGCUGGAGG
rnacentral:misc_RNA from 1 species